CAAACGAUAAGUUUCAUAAUAGUUCCGCGAGACAGCGCUGCUUUCUAUGCGCUGUCACCAAGGCAAACUUUUUCCUUGCGAAAUAAUGGUCAGCGGUAUUAUUUCGCACGGAGGCUCGCGAAAUUUUGACAGGUUGCAAUGAAAAAAUAUAAGAAAACACAAGAUUGGCAAUUUUUUUCAUCGCAACCUGUCAAAAUUUCGUGGUUUAGAAAUUCAAUAUUUCGAAUUUGAAUGCACACCCAAACAAAGCAAAUCAGCUCAACUAAUCUUGUCUCAACAUCCUGGAUCUGGCAAUCAGCCAACCAACAUUAAAUCGAUACAACCGCAGCAGUACCAACUACUCCAAAUCCAGCAACAGCCCCUCAAAAAAGGACCACAUAGCAAUUACUGCUCAAACGAACAACAGGAGUUUACGAAUGAUGGACACAUCGGAAAACAUUUCAUCGGCACAUUCUGCCUUAAAACAUGUCUGCCACUAUUUUUGAAAAUAUCACUGCCUACACAGUGCUCGUGAUUCCAUUCCAGCAGCAGCAAGCAAUCACUAUUCGAGUGCUUAUCGCCAACAUUUCACAGCAAGCUCAGCAGCAGAACCACCUUCAACCACAACAUCAGAAAAUUAAGAUUUCUUCCAGACCAUGACCAUCAUCCUAAAGGUCGGUAGCAAUAACGUUCAACCGACGGUACAACCUGGUCAGCAACCGCAAUUAGUGCAAUAGAUCCAACCCAAAUGUAGAUUUACCAACUGCAAAAAACACAGUAGCAGCAGCAUACUAUACUGUACCAUGCGGUGUGCAGGACUUUUUUAUUCAGUUGGUGCGGCAAGAUCGAACACCAACAACAUAAUAUCAUGGUAAUCACCCAGCAAGAAAACGCAGUGAUAAUGGGCCAACAGAAAACACAACAUCAAGAUGCUCGGAAAGGACUUUCUCUUUCGAACAAACAUAAUGGCACGUCAUCUUCAAUCGGCUAACCGUUUGGAAUAAGCGCUCAUCAUCGGUUUCAUGGCAGGGAAGUGAGCAGGCAAAAGAAGGCAUCGUUUUUUCCGCAAGGUCGCUCUGGUCAAAAUUUCAGCGAAUUGCAAGGAAUAAACCACCCGAGGGACAGUACCCGUGCUGAUUCAGGACGAUUUCCCAUACUUUGUACCUUGCUAUUGAAUUUUAAUACCCGAUCGAAACGAUGGCAAGCGCUGCCGAUAACUGGGUCAGAAAGAUGACGGAUCAAGAAAUUUCUGCACUCGGUUAGCGAACUGAGUACAUAUCACCAAGGAUAAGGAUUCAGAGCCGGCGGCUGGCAGUCCAGAGAAAAAGAAUGCGGAAAAACCUAGUCCACCGGCAGUAGAACCAAAGCUGCACCUGAUGUUUGGAGUUCGGUAGCUACGGAAAUUCUGACUCUAGCAGCUCUAGAAGAAAAACAAGCUGCAAGAGAAAAUGGAGAAACACCUUCCUCCGCGGAAGAUGCAGAGGCAUUCAAGUAAGUCGAAAUCUGCAGAAAAUUUUGAUUAGGACAUAAGGAACAUUGACAGCCUCUCUUUGUUUACUUUCUCUUUCGAUUAUGACGUCACUAUAACACUUUGCACUAAUUUUCCAGUACAUAGCCGAUGGUUUUUACUAAAAUAUUAGGCAAAGAGUUGAGUACUAAAUAUUGAAACGACCGAGUAACAAACAGAAGAGAAAGACCCCAAAGAGAAUCUCAUUGUUGCUUACGUCCUAUUCUAAAUUUUCUCCCGAAAUAUUUAGUAUCAGCUUUAAAAUUAUCCGUGACUAAUCUUUUAGCCCGGCGGAUGCAAGUUUGCUAAUGAAAGAUGUUCACUAAGGUCUAGUAGAAUCAAAGCUGGAUCUGAAGGUGCAGCGAAAGGAUUCUUCUUCGCCGGUUGGUUGGUUAAAACUUUCGAAGUUUUGCACGUGAAGCCGGGAUUACUUCAGGGAGUCUAUGCGAUGGGUUUCAACGCCCUUCCAAGAUUCAGGAGAUGGCUCUACCUACUCUGUUGGCCGGUCCGCCACGGAAUAUAAUCGCCCAGAGUCAGUCGGGAACAGGAAAAAACCGCUGCCUUUGUGCUGGCAAUGCACAGUUGAGUCCAUCAGUUAAAAAACUAUCUGCAGGUGAUUUGCCUUUCCCCCACGUAUGAGCUGGCAAUUCAGAAGGGGGAAGUAGCUGCCAAAAUGGCAAAGUUUUGUCCGGAAAUCAAACUUCUAUACGCCGUUCGCGGUGAGGAGACCGUCAAAGGGGCGAAGCUGACUAAUCAUAUCAUCAUCGGAACACCCGGCAAGCUAAUUGACUGGGGUAUAAAGUUCAGGACGUACGACCUAGUUUUUCCUUCUUGUACUGGACGAGGCGGGUGUUAUGGUCGGUGUUCUUCUUGGCCACGUACGAGCGCGAGGUAAUGGAGUUUGCCGAGUACAUCGUACCCAAUCCGAUCGUCAUUCGGCAGGCGCGGGAGCAAGAAUCACUCGAUAACAUCAAACAGUACUACGUCAAGUUCCGCAACCAGGACGAGAAAUUGUGUGAUUACCGUCGGACAAGCGAUCAUUUUCUGUCAUAUGAUGUAUAGGACAGUUGUAAACGUCCAAGUAAACUUAUUUUCAGAACUGUUAAUCGAUCGAAACAGGUACGAAAAACGGCCGGUUGGUUGACCUGCAGGAUGUCCCAGGAUGGUCACUCGGUAGCGGUACUGUCCGGUAAUCUAACGGUGGAGCAACGGUUGGAACGAACGUUUUGUCCAGGGGUAAGUUCCACCACUUGAUUCUGGCUACAGCACCAGGUUACGGAGAGAUUCUUUCGUCUUAGGUAUCGACGUCGAACAGGUGACCAUUGUCGUCAACUUCGACCUGCCGAUGGAUUAGCAGGGACGAGCCGAUUGCGAAACGUAUCUACAUCGAAUUAGACGCACCGGUAGAUUCGGUAAGUGUGACUCAUUCUUGUGAUCCUAUAGAUUGUAUUUCUUCCCACUUCUUUAACAGAACGGAAUCACCAUCAACCUAGUGGGCAGUGAUCGAAACAUGAUGAUUUGCAGAUCAAUCAAAAAACACUUCCGGAAAAAGAUUCAGUUGCGCGGAGAACUCGGACGAAAUUGAAAAGAUCGCACCGUAAAGUGUUUUCGACCAGCUACUGGUCAUACUUGUUUUGAUUCUGAAUUUAUAAUUUUAUAUUUUUUUAAUUUACAAAUGUAACCAACAGGGUAUCGCAAGCUAAUA